rnacentral:lncRNA from 1 species
UUUCGACCGCGUCGUACCAUUCAAAAGUGGCGAGGCCGUAACCCACACCAGUGUCCACAUAAUGGAGGAGCCAGCAGAAAUGCAGGGAAACCUUGAAUGACUGCCAUAGCGCAGUGUGUAAUCUGAUUGCUUGGUUCAGGUACACCUAGCAAAUGUAUACAUUGACGAGGAGUGGCACCUGCUCUAGUGCCAUGGCUAGGACUCCCUGUUCUGCAAAGAACUGGCGAAACUGGUGUGCGGAGUUCUGGCACUCAGGAUAGGAGCAUCACAGGGGCUCUUUGGUGGUGCUUCCUGAACGACCGCAAUUUCAUUGAGAAGUCGGCAUUGAGCCUCCAUAAAUUGGAAGCUGUGGACAGUAUCAUCGACAUUGUUUCAAAUUUGUUUGUGUAAUGUUUGUAACAAUACAUGUAUUACAGCGAAAUGAUUAAUUUUCCAGAUGCACUUGAUGCAUAUCUUUCGAGAUGUGGUGCCCCUGAGGAGGAGAAAUCGCGGUGCUCAAAAUGGACCGUAGCCUAGCAGACAUGCUGAGAGAAAUUAAGUAAGCGUGUAAUUGCAAACAUGUGUACAUGCAGUAAACCUCAUUAAUUUGAACUCGUGGGGGCCAUGCGAAAUGUCAGGACUAAGCAAACGCAACCAAAAUGGUUUAAAAUAUAUAUUUAUGUUUCGGCUUCCCACGGGAGCCUUGUUCACAAUGAAACCAGCAGCAGAGUAGGUAACGUUCUUAUCUGCAGCUCAAAACAUGAUUAAGGUACUUGGCAUACAUGGACAUGGAUGAUUAGAGAUUCAAGAUAAAGACGCGUAAAAUGAUUUCAUUCCUUAACAAUCAAGCGAUAUUUUUCCUAGCUAAUUGUGACGUAGUUGCGCAGUGCUUGGCCAGGGCAUUCGAUGCAAAGUAUCGUUUCUGGACAUCAUUCCUGUGCUGUUGAAGUCUUUUUUUGGAGUUGCCGGUUUCUCCGAUGUAGACGUACCGACAGUUCGCACACCGAAGGACCUACACUACGCCUGGGAACUUGCCCUUUUCCGAACGGUCUUUCACAUGCAUGAGCUCGUGUUUACGUUUUGGAACGUGCACAGCCUGCACAUCAUAUGACCACAACGCAUGCAAGGGUCUCGCUUAUGCAGGGGACCUAUGGUAUUGAAGCCCAU